CACGUAUUUAGCCGGGGCUUCUUGGUCAGGUACCGUCAAUGUCUUCCCUGCUGACAGAGCUUUACAUACCGAAGUACUCCAUCGCUCACGCGGCGUCGCUGCAUCAGGGUUCGCCCCCAUUGUGCAAUAUCCCCCACUGCUGCCUCCCGUAGGAGUCUGGGCCGUGUCUCAGUCCCAAUGUGGCCGCCCACCCUCUCAGGCCGGCUACUGAUCGUCGCCUUGGUCGGGCCGUUACCCCGCCAACAAGCUAAUCAGACGCGGACCCAUCCCGCACCGCCUGGGCUUUCCGCACAGCCCCAUGCGGGGCCGUGCGCAUAUGCGGUAUUAGCAGCCGUUUCCGGCUGGUUCGUCCCCCAGUGGCGGGGUAGGUUCGUCCACGCGUUACUCCACCCGUCCGCCACUCAGUCCACGAGGGGUCUUCCUUCCGAAGAAACUUCCCGCCCACGCGCUUCGUUCGACUUGCAUGUGUUAGGCACGCCGCCAGCGUUCAUCC
rnacentral:rRNA from 1 species